UACGUAGGGUCCGAGCGUUGUCCGGAAUUACUGGGCGUAAAGAGCUCGUAGGUGGUUUGUCGCGUUGUCCGUGAAAACUCACAGCUCAACUGUGGGCGUGCGGGCGAUACGGGCAGACUGGAGUACUGCAGGGGAGACUGGAAUUCCUGGUGUAGCGGUGAAAUGCGCAGAUAUCAGGAGGAACACCGGUGGCGAAGGCGGGUCUCUGGGCCGUAACUGACGCUGAGGUGCGAAAGCGUGGGGAGCAAACAGG
rnacentral:rRNA from 1 species